rnacentral:rRNA from 1 species
CUACGGGACGCUCCAGUGGGGAAUAUUGCACAAUGGGCGCAAGCCUGAUGCAGCCAUGCCACGUGUAUGAAGAAGGCCUUCGGGUUGUAAAGUACUUUCAGCGGGGAGGAAGGGAGUAAAGUUAAUACCUUUGCUCAUUGACGUUACCCGCAGAAGAAGCACCGGCGAACUCCGUGCCAGCAGCCGCGAUAAUACGGAGGGUGCAAGCGUUAAUCGGAAUUACUGGGCGUAAAGCGCACGCAGGCGGUUUGUUAAGUCAGAUGUGAAAUCCCCGGGCUCAACCUGGGAACUGCAUCUGAUACUGGCAAGCUUGAGUCUCGUAGAGGGGGGUAGAAUUCCAGGUGUAGCGGUGAAAUGCGUAGAGAUCUGGAGGAAUACCGGUGGCGAAGGCGGCCCCCUGGACGAAGACUGACGCUCAGGUGCGAAAGCGUGGGGAGCAAACAGGAUUAGAUACCCGAGUAGUC